CCUAGUGAUAGCUACCCUGAGAAAGAAAAUAUGUUUUUUCUUCAGUGAAGUCUAUCAGCUUGUCUGUUGUUUAAAAAAAUUCCUAAAAGGAAGGCUGAAUGACUAAUUUAACCUUUAGUCAGCUUCUCUGCCACCCCUCCUAGCUAGCUCUGCUGAUACAACCGAACACACAAGUCAGGGUCUUUCUCUGCAUCUUUUGUUUCCAAAGAUGUUUCUUUUACACUUGUUCUAAGCAUUACUGGCAUUACUUCUGAAAUGCUUUCUGACUUUUUUUUUUUUCUUUUUUAAUGGAGGAAGGAUGAGCUGCACUUCUAAUUGUGGCAAAUUUCAAACAGCCAACACCUGUUCUCGGCAAUGUUUUGCCCACCCCUGUAGCUCAAUGUUUUCUGUUUAGCAAUCAUAAAAAUAAAUAAAUGUAUUUACUCACAUAAAACAGAUGGGCUGACAGAUGUGAUACUAAUACAGCUGUUGUUCACAGCAGGGUAUUUUUGUUAGUCAGGGGCAUGCCUUAUAUAGUUGCACCCUAAUAACAAUGAACUGCAAUCUGGUGUGUGUAAGUUCUGGCCCCUGCUACCUGAAAUGAAUGAUAUGGUGGAUUUACUCUGGGAGGUGUCUUUGGUGGUUGCCAUGCUUGAGGCAAGGCUGUCCUGGUUUCUCCUCAAUGGGUCUGCUGGCUGAAGGCUCGCCCAUACCUGCGUAUCAGCUGCAGCAGGCUGAGGAGUGUGCUGGUCCUGGGACCACUGCCAGGCAGGCAGUGAGCCUGCCAUGGAAGCAGAGCAGCCUUGAAGACAUUCAACAGACAUCAUGA
rnacentral:lncRNA from 1 species